AUUCGAUCAGCCUGCACUCUCUGGUUGUGUCAGAAGGAAAGUGCUUCCUGUUCGGAUAA
rnacentral:pre_miRNA from 1 species